rnacentral:rRNA from 1 species
GUCUAUGGUCAUACUGCCCUGAAUGCACCCGAUCUCAUCUGAUCUCAGAAGCUAAGCAGGGUUGGGCCUGGUUAGUACUUGGAUGGGGCAUUGCUUUUGAUGAGGGAGAUCUGUGUCCACUUGGAGA